GAUGGUGCCACUGAAAAUGGCACUGAAAGAAUUCACGGGGUAUAAUUUUACACACCGCCCGUAGUUCUUCUGUGCCUUGCUCGGUGACCAUU